rnacentral:rRNA from 1 species
UACGUAGGGUUCGAGCGUUGUCCGGAAUUAUUGGGCGUAAAGAGCUCGUAGGCGGUGUGUCACGUCGGCCGUGAAAACCUGCAGCUUAACUGUGGGCGUGCGGUCGAUACGGGCAUCACUGGAGUUCGGCAGGGGAGACUGGAAUUCCUGGUGUAGCGGUGAAAUGCGCAGAUAUCAGGAGGAACACCGGUGGCGAAGGCGGGUCUCUGGGCCGAUACUGACGCUGAGGAGCGAAAGCGUGGGGAGCAAACAGG